rnacentral:misc_RNA from 1 species
UUAAUUUUCAUUCGAAAAUUUGGUAAUCAGACAAUGUUGCUAACUGCAAGUUUUGAUAAAUGGUGCUGCCGGCAGGCUGACACAGAGGCUGUUUCCAACCGAGCUGCUGCCGAAGCGAAAGGUUUUUUGGUUCACAAAGGGUUAAACGCCUGCACCAGCCUUGCAGCUGGGAGACAUGAUUGGUAAUGAUCCUUCCGCAGGUUCACCUACGGAAA